GUUCAUCCCCAUCAUCAAAACGUACGUUCAACGAAGUUCCACAAAGUUCCAAGCAGUCGGCCUACUCUGGGGACGUGUGUCGAGGAGGACUGCAUUUGAAGAACAAUAACUCUAUCGGACGAGGCGAAAGACCAGAUCAUGGCGAGGUUUGAAGGGUUCAACUCCAGAAAAAGUCAGGUCAGAAGAAACAGCGGUGGAGGCUGAAGAUGCUCCGGGAAAGGCAGGAGAGGAGAUGGAGGCAGAGGCUGUGGAUGUCGAGGUGGAAGAAGGUCACAGUGGAGGACAGCACCAAUGAGAAGGUGAGGAGAGUUGAAGGAAAAGUGGCCGUUGCCAUGGUGCAGCACGAUGUUCCACAAGGAGUGUUCCAAAUAUUUCUCCCUGGCUCAGAACUUCAAGAUGUCAGCACCAAGACAACAUGCAUGCAUAAUCAUCAUCAUCAGAUGGUGCCUCAUUUUAAAGAUGAGAGAGAAUCCCUUCGCUCUCAUUACAGAUGACUCAAGUUAUUCAGGUGUGUGAUUUGUAGGUCCCAGGAACGUUUUCUCGGUGGAAAUGCAUCAAAAUGUGAGUAGAGUCGAUACUGUCAGUGGAAACACGUCAUGAGUUCUUAUUUCAAGACAGAAUCAGAAUCACUCACCUUUCUCCUUUAGCUGUUUCUCUUGCUCUUAUGUUUCACUUUCCAAACUGAACCCAGAGGACGUCUGCGGCUAUUAAGACAACAAAGGUCUCUUUUUUAUGUAAAAUUCUAGUUUUGAAGAGUCCGGGGAGGACAUGAGCGCCUGUCCCGCCUAACUUCAUCACUAAAGAAUUUGAUCCCCUCUGAGAAAUGUCCAGUUCGAUAUAAAACUUCUCCCAGAACACCAGAUCCCUUUGGUCGGUCCUGGUGAGGGGUUUUACUGAAGGUUUCCCUCUCCUGUGUUAAUGUGGUGUGUGCAGACGUCAGUCGUGUGCUGUGGUGUCUUACCUCUCAGGAGCUGAAACGUCUCUCGCUUCUGAGGAACCCUGACUCCAUGUACCAAUCUAGGUCUUACUCAGAGGAAGUAAUACCACUCCAUCAGAGCUUUUUCAACUUUUUAUGUGUUUUUAUUCAGUCAAAGCAUUACAAAUUAGCAUUCAAGAGAAAAACACCAGAAUAAAUGAAUGAAAAUCAAAGAGAGCUGAGUUUGUGUUGGUUUCUACACGUCUUAAAUUUCAGACUUGUAUUGUUUUGAAUCUGGAAAAUUUAGGUGGGAAGUAGAAUUUCCACUCCACUUAUCUGUUUUUAAACUAAUUUUGGGUGUUUAAUUCAAUCUCAAAAGUUGACCCCAGAACGUUCCUCUUUGUCUGAUUCAAAGUUCAGAGGGCUCCCAGCAGGGGGUGGACUCUCUUUUGGAAGAGCGAGCGCUCCCUCUACUGGAAGACAGAGCCUUCAUAUCGGGUCUGAACAUAGUUUGCUCUGAUGCAUGUGUUCCUGUCUCGAUACCAAAGAAACCAACUCAGCCUCAGUUCUCCACAAAAAAAAACAAUAGAACAUUCAAAAAAACUUUAUGCUUUCGACCCACGUGGGAUCUGCAAGUGAAUUCUUCACACCAACCAAUCAGGCGAGAUGUUAGUUCACAAAAGUUACACUCAGUUCAACACCCGCAGCAGACUCACCACAUCCUGUCAACUUUCUGUGCAGUAAGCAAACUUUGGUUUGUAAGCUGGCAGUGUCUGCAUCUCAGUCAAAACAAAGCUUUAUUGAUUAAACAAUCUGCAUGCAUGGGAUUGUAUAUGAGCAGGAUUAUGAAAUGAUAUUUGAUUAAAUGAGCUUACAUGAUACUACUUCUAAACAUGAAAGAGUAAUGAAUGAAAAAUCAAAAGUAAAAUAAAAAUAAAAAUCAAUUGAAACUUCCACUGUGACUUGCAUUUGCACAUUCAUUUGACCUCUUCUGACGACACAAAUCUGACUGACUUCAAAGGUCUGAAGCUGCACAACAUGUUUCCAUUUUUGUGAAUCAACUUUCUGGUUUUAAUUCUGCAAACAAACCGUUUUCCAAUCCCAGGCAGAUUCUUUGAAAGCAGACUUGAUUUCUUUAAUCCAGUCCUGGAUAUGUAGACACAGUGUUCAUGAUACACUGGCUCCAUUUCCAUUACACAAAACAAAACGGAUAUUUUCCAAAUCACAACAGCAAUUUGCAGGUGUUUCCAUUGAAUGGCGUUGAGCUCAUAAGUUGUAAAUCUCGUACAAUCUCGUCCUGCGAGACUCCGCUCAGAAAAAGACGGAGAUACAAAACAUUUAUCAUUUUUCUUAUAAGACUCGGCAUUUUGCUGUUGUUUGAAACCAAGGAUGGGUGUUGUAUUUUCCUCUUCAAGAAAGUGUUAAAAUAUUUCUGUCCUCAAACGCACCGCGCCAUCUUUACUCGCAUGAACUGGUCACAUACAGUGUUGCCAGAUCUGACUCUCUGUUUCCAGUCCAAACACAACAUAAAA